CGCUCGUCGCUCCGGCCAGACUCCAGUUGGCCUUUGCUGUGCGUAGAAAAAAUAGUCACGUGUAUACAGUGAUUGCCACAUCUUAGUACUUUAACACAAUGGGAAGUAAAGCUAUUUCUAGGCAAGAAAAGGAAACGCAACAACGCUGAAACUUCGGCUAAAGCAAAAGCUAAAAGAUUGAUGUACUAAUGUUAUAACAUGCGUCUGUAGUUAUGGUUGUUGUUUUUUUUACUCAUUAAACGCUUGAGCAACAGUUACUUAAAGGAA